rnacentral:rRNA from 1 species
UCGGGAAUUUUGGGCAAUGGGCGAAAGCCUGACCCAGCAACGCCGCGUGAGUGACGAAGGCCUUAGGGUUGUAAAGCUCUUUCGGCGGGGAAGAUAAUGACGGUACCCGCAGAAGAAGCCCCGGCUAACUCUGUGCCAGCAGCCGCGGUAAUACAGAGGGGGCAAGCGUUGUUCGGAAUCACUGGGCGUAAAGCGCACGUAGGUGGAUAGUUAAGUUCGGGGUGAAAUCCCAGGGCUCAACCCUGGAACUGCCUCGGAUACUGGCUAUCUCGAGGUCGAGAGAGGUUGGUGGAAUUCCUAGUGUAGAGGUGAAAUUCGUAGAUAUUAGGAAGAACACCAGUGGCGAAGGCGGCCAACUGGCUCGAUACUGACGCUGAGGUGCGAAAGCGUGGGGAGCAAACAGGAUUAGAUACCCUCGUAGUCCCUGAGCGGGCUGGCAAGGC